AGAUAAUUGGUUGUCAUGGGCUUCAUUCGCGUGGGAUUGGGCUGUAAAAAUUGAAGUUGUGUCCGGCCCGACAGAAUGGGUGACGCCUCUAACCCUAAUAUGGCUGCUGAGAGAAACGAAGGCCGUUCCUUCCACUUCGUGCGACGGCGACUCGAUGCCGUCGAUCUGAAGUCCGGCAAGUGUUCUCUCUCUUCUCCAUCUCUCGAGAUUUCUCUGACAAUGGAGGUGUCGGCUAAAUCUCCAACGAAAAGCGCCUCUGUGACUGAUAAUGGAGGAGACGAGACUGAUUUGCCAAUCACCACGACGGAAAUCAUUGUUUCAAGAUGCUAAGUGAGUUAAUGGCAAUUGGGAUCUGAAGCAAUUCGAAAAAGAAGGCAAAACAGAGUAGGAUUCGGUAAUAGUUGCUGAACCAACCUGAUGAAUUGAAUCAUAAAAUUUCAAGGAAAACUGGAGAAGGUAGCUCUAGAAGCUAAAUAUCAGAAGUUGUAUUAGCCUUUAGCCUUUGUAUACCAAGGUAUGAAAACGAUCUUCAAUUGUGUAAUCUCAUGAGAUCUUAACUGAUAAAAGUUUGAAUGUUAAGUCUUCUCUCUGUUGCUUCUUACUAAUAAAUCAGUAGUGCCGUGUGUUUCCUUCUGUAUCCUACAUGCUUAUAAAUUAUAUUGACGGUAUGCUGGGGUCUUGGUUUUAAAUGUCGUGUGGCGAGGAUUGGCGAAAGGAGGCUCGACACUCGCCACUCGCCAUGGCGUUUCAUGGCGAUCGCAUCACGUAUUAGCCGCUCAAAAGGUAUAGCGAGGAAAGGCGGUCGACUCACGUACCUCGCUUAGCAUUGGUCUUGAGUCGUUUUGGAGGUCGCUUCAGGUCGCUACUCGCCAUGGCGAGCGGAGCGGUCGCCUUUUAAAACCAAGGCUGGGGUUAGAUGUUCAGAAAUAAGAUGGAUAGUGAGUAAGCAAGCUGCCCGGAAAGAGUUUCAAAGAUCAAGACGAUAGAAAUUAAUACACAGAUAAAAAAGGAUAGUUUGCAAGGUUGGGUGAAAAUGGUGAAGAUACUUAUAAAAUAUUAUUUGAAUUUAAAGGUGGCAAACUUGAGAACCAUGUCGAGAAGUUGUAGGGAUUUGUUAAAAACAGGGAAGCCCUAAGCUAAGUAAAGCUAAAUCAUAAAUUCUUCAGAUGCCAGAUGAUGACGGAGAGAUAGAAAGAAAACGAUGGAGCUUGUAGGCGGUGUGAUAGCAGUAGAGAGAAAUAGAAAACAUUAUGGCACCAGGGAUUUAAUAGUGCAAAACCAGAGUUAAAGAUAGAUAGUUAAAGAUCAUCUGGCAUCAUUAGUUUUAUUAUAUUAGAAUGUUCUUCGAUCGAAGGUUAUUAUCAUUUUAAUUCAGUCCAAAAAUAUUUAUUAAAUUAACAACAUUAUAUCCGAAUUCUAUUUA